UUAAACUUUCCAACGCAUUCGUAUUCUUUGCAGCAACUAUUUAUUAGAUUCGCUUACUUUCAUAAUCGCCUUUGGAAUUGAGAAAGUUUAAAUUGCCGCAGUCUAAUACGCCUAACACUAGAUUUGGCGAUAUGGCGUAAUUAACUGUCUCUUUUAAGGCCGCUUUUGUCGAGCCAACUCGCCAACUUGUCAUGGCAACCCUUCGAUGUUGAUCAUCCCGAACAGCUGUCUCUCUCUGUUCGGUUUCAUUUCGGUGAGCGAAUGUCUGUCUGCUUGCUGCAUCCAACGAUUCUGGUUCGGCCGUUUUUUUUGCAGUUUGACCAACAAGAGGAUAACAUCAUUGGCGGGAACUAUCCCUGACCUACAGAUGUAGAAAAGAGAUUUCAAGUGGUCACCGCCAGUUCUUCCUUUUUUUUUUUAUUUUUAUUUUUUAUUUAUUUAUUUUUUUAUGAGUUGUUUUCAUUAGUUGAAGAAGAAACUGUAAAGACAGUAAAUUCCAUCUGGCAGAGUGCAGAUAAUCAGGAGUGUGUGUUCUUCAGUCCUUUCCAUAAUUCAUAUCAAGAAUUUUCUACUGAUAUGUCAGUCUAAAAUUCGUAUCGUUUCAAUCACCCAUAUCGUUUUAUUAUCGUGUUUUGUCAUCAUCAUGGAAGAACAUGAACCAUCAUUUGCUACAGCUGAAGAAACGAUAGAGUAUUACAAGAAUCUGGCUGUAGAAUAUAAAAAGAAAUUCACAGAAACUCAACAGGAGCUUGAGGAAUAUCAGGAAGGCAGCCGAGACUUAGAAACCGAACUGGAGAUACAGCUGGAGCAAGCAGAAACAAGAAACAAAGAGCUUCUCUCAUCGAACCAACAACUCAAACUGGAAUGCGAACGACUACAGGCCAAACUGAAUAGUUGCCAAAAUGAAUCAUCUGCUACUAUCUCCAGACUGCAAGAAGAAGUACAGAAAUUGCAGAUAGUUAGGGACGAUCUUCAACAAUACGUACGAAAAUUAGAACAGAAAAAUGACGAUUUUGAACGAGCUACUAGAGCUUCGUUAAUGUCUUUAGAAGAUUUUGAAACACGGCUUAAUCAAGCCAUAGAAAGAAACGCCUUUUUAGAAAAUGAGCUUGAUGAAAAAGAAAAUAUGGCCGUCCUCAUACAAAGACUUAAAGAUGAAGCAAGAGAUUUGAAGCAAGAGCUCUUAGUGCACGACGCACCCAAAAAUGGUGACAUACCACAAUCUCCCUCCAAACAUUUUGAUAACAUAAUGGAUUCCAAUAAACUUAUCACUGAAGCUGAGACAGCUAAUCGUGUUCGUGUAAGACGAAGCAAUACUCGUUCAAAUUUCUUAUCAAAUGCCGCUUCAAAUGUGCCACAUUCUGCUCUAAAUAUUGUGGGUGAUCUACUAAAGAAAGUUGGAGUGAGUAUUAAAUGUACUGGAAUCCAAAUUACAAUCCUGCCGAGACUGUAUAAAAGAUAAUUCAGACCAUAUAGGGGAUCAACAUAAAGCCAAUAGCCUCACAUCAACAAGUCGAGUGAGGCACUUGAAUGGCACUUCAUUAUCAAAUCCUAAAGAUUUCAUUCCAUUGACAGCUUAAAGGACUUUAUUUUCACCUAAACUGAAAAUGAUGAGGUCUUUUCCUAAAAACUAAGCUUGUACGACAUACAUAAUUAAGAAAAAAAGUUAUAUGCAUUUCAAUUGAGCCGUUUUAAAACAAUAGGAUACUAAAUAAAUUUGACAACAAUAACAGUAAUAAAAGAAUAUGAAAAUACAUACAUCAGAACAUUUAGUAUAUAAAAACUUCAAGAAACUAUAAUUAAUUUGUUUACAUGUCCAGCAUAUGAGUAAUUGGAAAAUAUGAAACCUGAAAAAUUUUAUACAUAAAGCUUUCAAAAUAAAAUAGAUGCUGCUGAUUAUUUUAUCUUCUCUUUUUAAACUACUAUAUUCAAAUACUACAAAAUUAAAGGAAAAUAGAAUAAAUAUAUACAAAUUAUAUUAAAAUUCAGUUUGUUACCUUCUGAGAAUAAUUAAUCAUCUGAGAAAAGAAUUUAAAGCACUUCUUAAUAAAAUAUUAUGGAGUAGAUAUAAAUUUCCUUCCUGGGCAUUUUGCUAUUAAAUACUAGAAUUUUUAUAUUUUUAAUUCAAUUUUUGACAAUAUUUUUAGGAAUGUACAAAGCUUUCAUUGCAUCAGAAACAUUUCAUCACUAUGUUAAAAUCAUAAUUAAGGAACAAUCAAUACAAAGAGCAUCAUACAUGCUGUAAAAUGCUGGAAAUGAACUUAAAAUAAUAAAAUCAUUAACAAAAAUUGGCA
rnacentral:misc_RNA from 1 species